rnacentral:rRNA from 1 species
UUAUUGGAGAGUUGAUCCUGGCUCAGGAUGAACGGCUGGCGGCGUGCCUAAUACAUCGCAUAGGUCGAAGCGAAUGGAUAAGAGCUGCUCUUAUGAAGUUAGCGGCGACGGGUGUAGUAACAGUGGCUAACCUGCCCAUAAAGACUGCGGAUAACUUCCUGGGAACACCGGGGGCUAAUACCGGAUACAUUUGAACCGCCAUGGGUUCGAAAUUGAAAGCGGCUUCGGCUGUCAACUUAUUGGAUGGACCCGCGCCCGCAUUAGACUUAGUGUCGUGAUAGGUAACGGGCUCACCAAAGGCAACGAGGGCGUAGCACGUACCUGAGAGGGCUGAUCGCCCACCACUGGGACUGAACACGGCCCAGACUUCCUACGCGGAGGCAGCAUAGGGAAUCACCGCAAUGGACGAAAGUCUGACGGAGCAACGCCGCGUGAUGAUGAAGGCUUUCGGGUCGUAAAACUCUAUUGUUAGGGAAAGAAACAAGUGCUAGUUGAAUAAGCUUGCACCUUGGACGGGGGGGGGGGGGGGGGGCGGGAUACCUAACCCACGAAAGCCACGGCUAACUACGUGCCAGCAGCCCGCCCCCGGUGAAUACGUGGUGGAAGCGUUUAUCCCGGAAUUCAUUGGGCUUAAGCGCGGCGGCAGGUGGUUUCUUAAGUCUUGAUGUCUGAAAGCCCACGGCUCAAACCGUGAGGGUCAUUGGGAACACUGGGAGACUUGCACGUGCAGAAGAGGAAAGUUGGAAUCCAUGUGUAGCGUGAAAUUGGUAGAGAUAUUGGAGGAACCACCAGUCGGCUGAAGGCGACUUUCUGGUCGUGCUAACUACCGCACUGAGGCGCGAAGCGUGGGGAGCCAAACAGGAUAGAUACCGCCUGUAGUCCACGCCGCUAAACGAUGAGUGCAAGUGUUAGAGGUUUCCGCCCUUUAGUGCUGAAGUUAACGCAUUAAGCACUCCGCCUGGAAAGUACGCCGCAAGGCAUGAAACUCAAAGGAAUUGACCGGGGGCCCGCACAACGGUGGACCCAUUGGUUUAAAUUCGAAGCAACGCGAAGAACCUUACCAGGUCUUGACAUCCUCUCGAAAACCCUAGAGAUAGGGCUUCUCCUUCGGGAAGCAGAAGUGACAAGGUGGUGGCAUUGCGUUGUCGCUCAGCUCGUGUCGUAGAUGAUUGGGUUAGUCCCGCCAACGUAGCCGCAACCCUUGACUUAGUUGCCGCAUCAUUUAAGGUUGAGGCACUCUUAAGGUGACUGCCGGUGACAAACCGGAGGAAGGUGGGAUGACGUCCAAUCAUCAUGCCCCUUAAUGACUGGGCCUAACACACGUAGCUACAAGGGACGGUACAAAGAGCUGCCAAGACCGCGAGUGCGAGGCUAAUCUCAUAAAACCGUUCUCAGUUCGGAUUGUAGGCUGCAAAACUCGCUACAUGAAGCUGGAAUCGCUAGUAAUCGCGGAUCAGCAUGCCGCGGGUGAAUUACCGUCCGGCCUUGGUACACACCGCCCGUCACUACCACGAGAGUUUCGGUAACACCCCGAAAGUCGGUGGGGUAACCUUUUGGAGCCAGCCGGCUAAGGUGGACAGAUGAUUGGGGUUUGAAGUUCGUAACAAGGUCAGCCGUAUCGGAAGUGCGGCUGAACUCAACUCCUUUCU